AUUGAACGCUUGCGGCAGGCCUAACACAUGCAAGUCGAGCGGAUGAAGGGAGCUUGCUCCUGGAUUCAGCGGCGGACGGGUGAGUAAUGCCUAGGAAUCUGCCUGGUAGUGGGGGAUAACGUUCGGAAACGGGCGCUAAUACCGCAUACGUCCUGAGGGAGAAAGUGGGGGAUCUUCGGACCUCACGCUAUCAGAUGAGCCUAGGUCGGAUUAGCUAGUUGGUGGGGUAAAGGCCUACCAAGGCGACGAUCCGUAACUGGUCUGAGAGGAUGAUCAGUCACACUGGAACUGAGACACGGUCCAGACUCCUACGGGAGGCAGCAGUGGGGAAUAUUGGACAAUGGGCGAAAGCCUGAUCCAGCCAUGCCGCGUGUGUGAAGAAGGUCUUCGGAUUGUAAAGCACUUUAAGUUGGGAGGAGGGGCAGUAAGUUAAUACCUUGCUGUUUUGACGUUACCAACAGAAUAAGCACCGGCUAACUUCGUG
rnacentral:rRNA from 1 species